rnacentral:rRNA from 1 species
GAUGAACGCUGGCGGCGUGCCUAAUACAUGCAAGUCGAACGCAUUGAGAGAAGUGCUUGCACUUUUCAAUUUGAGUGGCGAACGGGUGAGUAACACGUGGGCAACCUACCUGAUAGCGGGGGAUAACGAGUGGAAACAUUCGCUAAUACCGCAUAACAAUAGAGAAGGCAUCUUCUUUAUUUAAAAGGCGCUUUCAAGCGUCGCUAUCAUAUGGGCCUGCGGUGCAUUAGUUAGUUGGUGGGGUGAAGGCCUACCAAGACUAUGAUGCAUAGCCGAGUUGAGAGACUGAUCGGCCACAUUGGGACUGAGAAACGACCCAAACUCCUACGGGAGGCUGCAGUAGGGAAUCUUCCACAAUGGACGAGAGUCUGAUGGAGCAACGCCGCGUGUGUGAUGAAGGCUUUCGGGUCGUAAAGCACUGUUGUAUGGGAAGAAAUGCUAGGCUAGGAAAUGAGCUUAGUUUGACGGUACCAUACCAGAAAGGGACGGCUAAAUACGUGCCAGCCGCCGCCGUAA